rnacentral:rRNA from 1 species
GGGUUGUGAGGUUAAGCGACUAAGCGUACACGGUGGAUGCCCUGGCAGUCAGAGGCGAUGAAGGACGUGCUAAUCUGCGAUAAGCGUCGGUAAGGUGAUAUGAACCGUUAUAACCGGCGAUUUCCGAAUGGGGAAACCCAGUGUGUUUCGACACACUAUCAUUAACUGAAUCCAUAGGUUAAUGAGGCGAACCGGGGGAACUGAAACAUCUAAGUACCCCGAGGAAAAGAAAUCAACCGAGAUUCCCCCAGUAGCGGCGAGCGAACGGGGAGCAGCCCAGAGCCUGAAUCAGUGUGUGUGUUAGUGGAAGCGUCUGGAAAGGCGCGCGAUACAGGGUGACAGCCCCGUACACAAAAAUGCACAUGCUGUGAGCUCGAUGAGUAGGGCGGGACACGUGGUAUCCUGUCUGAAUAUGGGGGGACCAUCCUCCAAGGCUAAAUACUCCUGACUGACCGAUAGUGAACCAGUACCGUGAGGGAAAGGCGAAAAGAACCCCGGCGAGGGGAGUGAAAAAGAACCUGAAACCGUGUACGUACAAGCAGUGGGAGCACGCUUCGGCGUGUGACUGCGUACCUUUUGUAUAAUGGGUCAGCGACUUAUAUUCUGUAGCAAGGUUAACCGAAUAGGGGAGCCGAAGGGAAACCGAGUCUUAACUGGGCGUUAAGUUGCAGGGUAUAGACCCGAAACCCGGUGAUCUAGCCAUGGGCAGGUUGAAGGUUGGGUAACACUAACUGGAGGACCGAACCGACUAAUGUUGAAAAAUUAGCGGAUGACUUGUGGCUGGGGGUGAAAGGCCAAUCAAACCGGGAGAUAGCUGGUUCUCCCCGAAAGCUAUUUAGGUAGCGCCUCGUGAAUUCAUCUCCGGGGGUAGAGCACUGUUUCGGCAAGGGGGUCAUCCCGACUUACCAACCCGAUGCAAACUGCGAAUACCGGAGAAUGUUAUCACGGGAGACACACGGCGGGUGCUAACGUCCGUCGUGAAGAGGGAAACAACCCAGACCGCCAGCUAAGGUCCCAAAGUCAUGGUUAAGUGGGAAACGAUGUGGGAAGGCCCAGACAGCCAGGAUGUUGGCUUAGAAGCAGCCAUCAUUUAAAGAAAGCGUAAUAGCUCACUGGUCGAGUCGGCCUGCGCGGAAGAUGUAACGGGGCUAAACCAUGCACCGAAGCUGCGGCAGCGACACUGUGUGUUGUUGGGUAGGGGAGCGUUCUGUAAGCCUGUGAAGGUGUGCUGUGAGGCAUGCUGGAGGUAUCAGAAGUGCGAAUGCUGACAUAAGUAACGAUAAAGCGGGUGAAAAGCCCGCUCGCCGGAAGACCAAGGGUUCCUGUCCAACGUUAAUCGGGGCAGGGUGAGUCGACCCCUAAGGCGAGGCCGAAAGGCGUAGUCGAUGGGAAACAGGUUAAUAUUCCUGUACUUGGUGUUACUGCGAAGGGGGGACGGAGAAGGCUAUGUUGGCCGGGCGACGGUUGUCCCGGUUUAAGCGUGUAGGCUGGUUUUCCAGGCAAAUCCGGAAAAUCAAGGCUGAGGCGUGAUGACGAGGCACUACGGUGCUGAAGCAACAAAUGCCCUGCUUCCAGGAAAAGCCUCUAAGCAUCAGGUAACAUCAAAUCGUACCCCAAACCGACACAGGUGGUCAGGUAGAGAAUACCAAGGCGCUUGAGAGAACUCGGGUGAAGGAACUAGGCAAAAUGGUGCCGUAACUUCGGGAGAAGGCACGCUGAUAUGUAGGUGAAGUCCCUCGCGGAUGGAGCUGAAAUCAGUCGAAGAUACCAGCUGGCUGCAACUGUUUAUUAAAAACACAGCACUGUGCAAACACGAAAGUGGACGUAUACGGUGUGACGCCUGCCCGGUGCCGGAAGGUUAAUUGAUGGGGUCAGCGCAAGCGAAGCUCUUGAUCGAAGCCCCGGUAAACGGCGGCCGUAACUAUAACGGUCCUAAGGUAGCGAAAUUCCUUGUCGGGUAAGUUCCGACCUGCACGAAUGGCGUAAUGAUGGCCAGGCUGUCUCCACCCGAGACUCAGUGAAAUUGAACUCGCUGUGAAGAUGCAGUGUACCCGCGGCAAGACGGAAAGACCCCGUGAACCUUUACUAUAGCUUGACACUGAACAUUGAGCCUUGAUGUGUAGGAUAGGUGGGAGGCUUAGAAGUGUGGACGCCAGUCUGCAUGGAGCCGACCUUGAAAUACCACCCUUUAAUGUUUGAUGUUCUAACGUUGACCCGUAAUCCGGGUUGCGGACAGUGUCUGGUGGGUAGUUUGACUGGGGCGGUCUCCUCCUAAAGAGUAACGGAGGAGCACGAAGGUUGGCUAAUCCUGGUCGGACAUCAGGAGGUUAGUGCAAUGGCAUAAGCCAGCUUGACUGCGAGCGUGACGGCGCGAGCAGGUGCGAAAGCAGGUCAUAGUGAUCCGGUGGUUCUGAAUGGAAGGGCCAUCGCUCAACGGAUAAAAGGUACUCCGGGGAUAACAGGCUGAUACCGCCCAAGAGUUCAUAUCGACGGCGGUGUUUGGCACCUCGAUGUCGGCUCAUCACAUCCUGGGGCUGAAGUAGGUCCCAAGGGUAUGGCUGUUCGCCAUUUAAAGUGGUACGCGAGCUGGGUUUAGAACGUCGUGAGACAGUUCGGUCCCUAUCUGCCGUGGGCGCUGGAGAACUGAGGGGGGCUGCUCCUAGUACGAGAGGACCGGAGUGGACGCAUCACUGGUGUUCGGGUUGUCAUGCCAAUGGCACUGCCCGGUAGCUAAAUGCGGAAGAGAUAAGUGCUGAAAGCAUCUAAGCACGAAACUUGCCCCGAGAUGAGUUCUCCCUGACCCUUUAAGGGUCCUGAAGGAACGUUGAAGACGACGACGUUGAUAGGCCGGGUGUGUAAGCGCAGCGAUGCGUUGAGCUAACCGGUACUAAUGAACCGUGAGGCUUAACCUUACAACGCCGAAGCUGUU